rnacentral:rRNA from 1 species
GACGAACGCUGGCGGCGUGCCUAAUACAUGCAAGUCGACCUUAGUGGCGAACGGGUGAGUCACACGUGGGUAACCUGCCGAUCAGAAGGGGAUAACCCUUGGAAACAGGUGCUAAUACCGUAUACUGAUGGAUGGACCCGCGGUGCAUUACGUAGGUGGUGGGGUAACGGCCCACCAAGGCACGUAUGCAUAGCCUACCUGUGAGGGUGAUCGGCCACAUUGGGACUGAGACCCGUCCCAAACUCCUCCGUGAGGCAGCAGUAGGGAAUCUUCGGCAAUGGACGAAAGUCUGACCGAGCAACGCCGCGUGAUUGAAGAAGGUUUUCGGAUCGUAAAACUCUUUUGUUAGAGAAGCGGUAUCUAACCAGAAAGCCACGGCUAACUACGUGCCAGCAGCCGCGGUAAUUC